UGGGGAAUAUUGCACAAUGGAGGAAACUCUGAUGCAGCGACGCCGCGUGAGUGAAGAAGUAUUUCGGUAUGUAAAGCUCUAUCAGCAGGGAAGAAAAAUGACGGUACCUGACUAAGAAGCACCGGCUAAAUACGUGCC
rnacentral:rRNA from 1 species